AUGACGAUCAUGGCAUGGAACUGUCGAGGCCUCGGGCAACCUCGCACAGUUCAGGAGCUAGUGUGCUUAGUGCACACCUAUAAGCCCAAGCUCGUCUUCCUCUCGGAAACUCGAAAAUAUAAGUAUGUUAGGAACCUGAAAUGGAGGCUAGGCCUUCGCCGUUGUAUCACGCAACCCGGUACUAGAAGAGGUGCCGGAUUGCCCUAUUUUAUGAUGAGAGUGUUGAAAUAA
rnacentral:rRNA from 1 species